rnacentral:snoRNA from 2 species
UUGGACUCUUCGAAGAUCUCUAUACUGAUGGUAGUAUAUCGAUUCAAAGCGAGUCCUAGAACGAGUUACCGAUCGAAUGUCAAUUUUUAAUGCCUGUUCUAACUGGUAUCAAAUGGUUAGAAACCCGGCUCGUUUUUUGAUCGGCACAUUG